CAGACAAUGAGUGCCGAGCAGCCUGCGGGUGUGGGCCGAGCUGCGAGUACCUCCUGGGAGGGGGCCAGUCCACCGAGGGGGCGCCGAGCCCUGGGACGCCCAGGGAGGGGCGGAGGUGGCGGAACGCUUGACCUGGCUGGCGACCCACACCCAUCCGGCGGCACAGCACUUUCCUCCGCCCCCAGUUACAUACGCAUUCACGGGGGCGGGGGGGGUGGCACGAGAGGAGUUGGCUGUGCACAGCCCUGCGCAGCCACCGCUGCGGGAGGGACGCGCCAGCUUUAGGGUCAACUUGCCCCCAGAAUGAGGGGGAAAGUGCUUUGCUCCGGGAGCCUUCCCCGCUCCUUCAUCCACGUUAGAAGAGCUUUAUGCUCUGCCUUUGUAUGUGAACUACCUUAAACUUCCCCGACCUCUAAUCGAGACCCUGGGACUCGGGUCUUGGUGACCGUCGGGGAUCCAGGUUCCAAAGAUAUGGAAAAGAAGGAACUCGAGUGCCCCGCUCCCUAGCUCUCUGCCCUGCUUUUUAGAAACAGACUAAAUUCCUAGGAGGUUUCGGGAAGUUCACGUCGACACUCAGCAACUAACCUUUGGGAACUUUUAAUUCGGGGUCGUGGUAUACGUAAAGGCUAGUCCCUGAAGUUGCGCGUGAUGAAAAGGGCUUCCACCCCAGUCGCGCCCCGAGAUGCUUUCCAAGUUUUGGUGUCCCGUUUGCUCUGAGCUUAUCCUGGAGAACUUCAGACGUGACCCCAGAAGGCCGCGGAGAGAGAAUUUUAACUAGGGCAGGAGGAGUUGCUUUGAGAGGAUGGAUUUUACAAUUUUUUUCCAGGUAAAUCGAAGUAAAUGAUUUUCUAAAGGUCAGUCUCCCUGAAAGCAUUUGGGCUCUCUCUCUCUUUUUUUUUUUUUUUUAAUUUUGUGUUUUUCCAGUUGGGGAACGGAGACGAGCCAAAGCAGAGUUGAAACGGCAUAGCGAGGGGCAUUGUAAAAUAGGAUUUUGAGAGUGGGAGACCUCGUCGUUAAAAGUCUGCUUCCUCCCAAUAUAAUUGGGAACUGUGAACCCGUGUAUCCUGGAGGGAGAAGGGGACAGGGCCUGGCAAUGAGGGGGAAGAUCGUGAAAUCAAGGAAGUUGGCGAGAAUUUUUUUUUUCCAUUCUUCGUUGUAAAUUGCCGCUAAACACUUCUGAAUUUUAAAUUGCUACUACGACGGUCCAUAAACCGUUCUCAUCCAAUUUAGUCACUUUCAUUACAAUCCUUUUUGAUUCCCCCAAUCGCUGUGGCGGCUCCCAGUUUCAAUGCGGCCACAAUUCGGCAGGAGUGAAGGUAGAAAACUCUGGAACAGAGAUUGGCGACCGGAGCAGGAUUCAGGUCUUUAAAAUUUAACCUGAGUUCGAUCGAAUGGGACUAGCAGAAGAGGUGACCUGGUGUCUGCCUCCCACUUAACUCCGACCAGGGUUUCCAUAGCCUUUCUCUUUUGGGUUUUGCGUGAGUUCCAACCAAAUUUUGAAUUUUCAGAAGCUCAUUUGUAAGCAGAUAGAGAAACAUUGUGGACGUUUGACUUUCUUUUGAGUACAGCUGUUUUUGAAAUGCUUUUCAGUUUUACUCUUAAAAGCAGUUUUUUUUUCUCAAUUCAUAUCUCAGUGAGGUGAUUUCCAAUGGAGACGAGUUUUUUAAAAUCCUCUGGCUAAGUUAGACUCCAGGCUGUGAAUGGCCUCCAAGCCUGAGCCCUUGAGGAGACCUAGACCUGAACCUGGUUCUUGCUGUGUGUGUUUCUUUAUAUUAGCAAGUAUGAAGGUGUCCAUUUGAAUUUCCUCGGACAAAGCUAAAGCCCUGGGGACCUGCUUUUCCCGCAGCUCUGCCGCAUCUGUGAGAGGGUGCGCUGGCCCUGGCACCGCUGGGACAGAGCUUGUUAUCUAGGCCACCCAUGACCGACGAAAGAUCUCCCCUCCUGGCUUCUCCCAAGGCCGCUUUAAACCAAAUAAAUUUAGCUAUUAAGGGCCAAGAUGUCUGACAAAAGAUCGAAAGGUGUCUAUCCGUGAUCGCUUAAAGAAGCGAAGGAGAAGCUGGUGGCUCUCUGAUCCCGAUAAAGACAUUCCACACGGCGCCGGCCUCCCUCCCCGCGGCCUGGUUGCGUCCUGACACCCUGAGUUCUCCGCUUCUCUGGCCAGAUCUCCACGGGCCCGGCGAGACCUGCGUCCGUUGCCCUGGGAAUGUGGCGGCCUCGAGGCGGCCGGGCCUGGAGGUACCAGGCCCCAGGGUCCCGGGAGCCGUGGACCUCCAGGCCGGGCGGGGCUGGGCUUCCAAAACAGACCCCCUGCGCUUGGCAGAAAAACUAAACCGAGCUCAUUAGGGCCUGAAUUACUGUACCUUUUUGAUUAUUGUUCGAUACUGAAUAAUACUACAGUCAAUCCACCCCUACCGUCCCACCCUCACUCCCUGCGGUUUUGCCGAGGGUCGGUGUUACACAUCGCUGGUGGUCCGGAGCAGAACUUCUUUUGAACCAGGAUCAGAACCUGGUGGGUGGAACUGGGCAGCUAAAUUAGAUUUAGGCUGAUGGGGAAGGUGUGAACUCCCAGAGUAAGAGUUUGCAGGUGGGAGGCAGAGGUCCAGUCAUUCAUUCAUCCCCAGGUUGGGUUUGGUUAUGAAGUGUGGUAUUUACUAUCAUUAUUAAUUACUACUGGCAUCACUACACAAAACCUAGGGCCAGCUGGGCCCAGGCCCUGCCCCUGGGGGGGAUCCCUUCCCUUUCACUAAAGGUGAAGCAGGGAAUCCACUGUCCUGAUCCAAGGCUGAGGAGUGGUCUUGGGGAGCCAGGUGCUAUGGUUUGGGGUUUCUGCACUGCAGUCAUUUCUUCUCCUCUUAGGUAGCAUUCCUCCAUACUGCAAGCACACCUAAACCUUUUCUACCUCUUUGCAGUAUGGGGGAUAAGAACCUCAGGGUGGCAGAUUAGAGACUGCACUGGCUUCCCUGCAGUGGGGAUUCUUCCCCUAUCUUCUUCUAUGGUGAAGCUGGAGACAGGACUCAGAAUUCCAAAGGGCAAACCAACAUCUUCAGUUUCUGGCAUCUCGUGCUGGGCCCCGGAAGUGAAAUCUGCCUGUCUUUUCUCAUUGCCCCGCUCCAAAUAAGGUGAACUCCAAAACCAUCCACCUUAUCUAAUUUCCCCCCCCUCCCCCAGCCUCCUGGGAUAGGAAAACUCAGAGCAUGAGGAGGAAAGGGAUCAUUUCUGUCAUUUCUGCUCCCCAAAAGGGAAAGAUACAGAAAUUUCCAACACACUAGACAGACAGGACCCGGGCUUUCCCUAGAGUUUGCUGGUAUCGCUAGAUGUUCAGACAAUGCCAGUUCUAGGGUCAGAGUCCAGAUGCCACUGCCCCAGAGCUCUCUCAGCUCAGAGACCUUUCUGUUUUUCUUUUCUUGGGGGGGGGGUUGGGUUUUGCUAAGGGGAAGCAGAAAAGAAGGUGAUAAGCCUUUGGAGAUUGCUAAGUAAGUAAUGCUCCUUCUUAAGUCAAUUAAAGGGGGGGAAAGUGCCCCCAAAAUAAAAAAUUACUGCAUUUGCCACCCAGAACUAUGACCUCUGCACUCAGUUACGUUGCAGAUAUGCGGAGAAUCGGGACCAAGAGUUGUCUAUCCAUAUGCAGCCCUCCAGUUUCCUGCACUUGCCCAACAACACUGCAUAUAUACUGCACAAAGAAGAACCAGAAGGGUUAGCAACUCGUUUUGAAGUGUUUACAGUCUAGAAGUUUGGCGCUUCUGUAGAGCCGGUUAGGCAAAGUACCACAGACAGCUUGGAAGAUGAAGGGAGAUGCUUGAUCCUUUCUCUGGAAAAGUACGUGUGGGCUUAUAAUGUCCUCUAGGCUUCACAGUAAAUUUGUAAAGAAGGGAGUCACUCUGGCUCACAGACUGAGGGAAUUGCCUGGGUUUGAAUCCUGACUCCACCACUUUCUAACUGCGUGACCAGGCCAAAUUGCCUAACCUCUCUGUGCCUCGGUUUUCUCAUCUGUAACAUGGGGAUGGAAGAUAAAAGUACCUGCCUCACAGGACUGUUAAAGGGAUUAAAAGAUCACCAGUAUCUAUAUUGUAAUAGACUCGUAUGUACUACACCAGAUUUCAUUUCUUUCUCGUGACCCAGCUGUUCCUCGGCGCUAAUUAAUUUUCCAGGAAAGAACUUUGAGCAUCCAUUCAACUUUAAUGACUUAAAGUUCUUACGUACCAGCAGUGAGGAUUUUAUUUAUUGUAUUAUAGUAGGAAAGGGUGGGGUGAGACAGACAUAGAUCCCUUGACUUGCUUUUGGUUCCUUUGAAGAAGAAACAUUCCUUGUCUCUCCCCCUUGCAAAUGCCAGCAGCAGACUCCAACGUCUUCUACAGGACAAAGAUAGUAAUCUUGAGGCUCAUUCCCUGAGAAAAGUAUCCCACUCCUCAGCAGCACCCCUCCCAGGGAACUGCUUUCUGGCACCAGGAGUGAGUGAACAGAUGGGGCCAUGAAGAAGGGCAACCUGUGGGCUGGCAUUAGAUAAAAGGGUGGGUGGGGGCGAGCUAAUUAAAUGGACCUGGUCAUCUGACUAUACUCCUCCCAUGCUUUGUACUUUUCAGUUUGGUAUCACUGUUUAUGCAGGAGACUUCUGCUUUAGUCCCAUUUCGUUAAGGAAUAGAAAAAUGAAGAUCACUUAGAAGCUAUGGAACACACUAUUGAUAGGGGAAAAUUCAGGCCGUUCCAGCCAUUUUUCAACUGAUUUUCUUUCUGGGUUGUCAAUUUUGGCGGGUUUUGUUGUUUGGUUUUUGUUUUUUCCAUGUAGCACCCCAUCUUCUAAAACAAGAUCUCAACUUCAAUAAUGAAAACAUAAAGAAAGAAAUCCGUGGGACAAAACAAAAUACCGUUCUCUAGAUAAAAUGACAGGGAAGAGAUUUGUUUUUCAGAAGGCGCAGUCUGGAGGGAACAUAAAAGUCUCCUGCCUGCCUGCAGGUUUUCGGCGGGUUUGUGCCCAGAGCCUGUUUUUCUCUUGUCUCUGACAGUCCUGAUCUUCUCCACGUUUGAUUUACUGAGUGCUGUCAUUUCUCCGCUCUUUACUUUCACAAUCACACAUUCAAACCUGAUAAAGUUCAAGACCCUGAAUACUUGCAGCUUUCCCAGAUUUACAGUCCCCCUGCCCCCCACCCCGGCCAGCAGCCCUGAGCCUGAUUGAAUCCUCAUGGACAGAUGCCUUGGGGGAUCAGCAGAGCCAGCUGCCCAAGAGGGCUGGGUCCAGAGGGACGAUAGUCCCCAUGCCAGCUCUGUUAGCCAAAGCAACCCUUGGUCUCUUCCUUCCCCUAGAAAAUGAUUGGCAACAUCCUCUCGUUUUAGUUUCAACUUCCGGUUUGUGACCUGCCCAUGGGCAGGUUACAGGAGUUCUAACUUGCAAAAUUUUAAAAUUGGUGAGAGUUGAGUGCAGAAUCAUGGUUGGCUUGCAUUAGUGCCUGAUUUGCCUGGCUCUCCUAAACAGCUUCGUGAUCGAGGGCAAGCCACUUAACCUCUUAGUGACUCAGUUGCUCCAUCCAUAAAAUGGUAGAAAUAUUACUUUCUACAAACAUUAAUCACAAACUAAUGACUUGGGCCCCCCUCCCUGCGUGUAGCUCUGUCCGGGCCCCAGGAAAGACUGCCAGCCCAUGUCUGAUCUGGCUCUUUGGAUUCUGUCAGGUUAAAUACAAACGUCCAAGUUAAUCUAAAUACUAUACCUAUGGGCUAAACGAAAGGAAUGAUUCAUCUCCAAAGACUCAACGGUUAACUCAGGCUCAAGUUUGCAAACCACUGAAAUGUCUUCGGGUAGAGGAUGCUAUCUAAAUAACCUGUUCUUUGUUUAUAAAUAUGUAAUAAGUAAACUUAAAUCACAGGAUAUUGAUGAAAAGCGACCACUGAUGAUGAAUAUAUUAUUUACAAUAUGGUUACUAUAUGGGCACUUCACAUUUACUCAAUAAUUAUUUUUACAUGAUUUAAUAUUUUCAUUUUUCUUGAACUCUCAGAAUUUUCGGAGUAAACAUUUUAGGCAGCAGUGGUUUAAGAAAAAGCACUGUUCCAACUCCAUGAACCCCAAAAGGUGUGUCUUUUUCCCUUUUAAAAAUUCAUAUUCUAAAGAAAACUAAACACUCAUAAUAUCUAAAGGGAAAAUUGUACUCACCUGUUAGGGAAGCAAGCGGAAUUGUUACCUACCUGCUUCAGAAGGCUCUUUUUUAAUUCCCCCUACCUAUCCAGUCAGGAGAUGCCCAUUAGAAUAUAUUACGAUGUUGCUUUUUCUGGACCAUAAUAAUAUUCACCUCUACAGAGGUGAAUAAAAAUAGCAGCUUGACUAAAUGGAUAUCAAAUAACUUUUUCUGGCUACUCCUAAACCAGAUUACUGCUCUGUUUAUAAUACCACAAAUUAAAGGCAUGCAAUUAUCCAACAAAAACAGUGUGAAUAUUACACCAUUUUUAAAGCCCGACUAGCACAUAGCCUGUGCCUGGCAGACUCCAGCCAAAAACCACAGUGUGGAUCCACAAAUAAAGCUGUCACCUUUGCAUUUCAAAGGCAUCUUUCUGGAAAGAGCUCAGCAUGCUCUGGGCCAAAGUGAAAAGGCCUUUAAGUAGGAAAGAGCCUACCCAGUGUUUGAGCAGGUGGGCCGAACAUGUCCACGCUUUAGCACCGUGGCUGGGCUCAGCCACCACGUGGGGCUUGAGAGCAUGUGGAUCUCUGGGUUCAAAUCCCAGCUCUUCAGCUCGCUCUCUGGUUGUGUAUUCUUAAGAAAGUUUUUAAGAUCUCUACUUGCCAUUUUUCUUACCUAUAAAAAGGGGACGGUUAAUAACAGUAGCCACCCCCAAAGAAUUGUGAGUUGACUACGUUCAUAAAGUGCGUGGAGGAGUGCCUGGCUCAAUAUGCAGAUUUGAAUUGUUUGAUAAAUAAGCAAAAACGCAGAUUUCUAGUUCAGGCCACCUCUUAAGGGGAAGGGAGAUGAGGGGGAAGAGAGGAGGUAUCAAGGGCUCAAACAGGUAGGAAGGUGAUGAAAGCAUAAAGAAAACUAAAGAGAUGGGGAAAGGCAUUUCCUACUGGGGAUUAUUUAAGAUCAUAAACUCAUCUUCCAGUGUGCUGUCUGCACAGUGACAAAUGUGCCAAUGGAGUCCUAGGAUCUUAUUUUUAAAAGAUUUUAUGUAUGUAUGUAUUUGAGAGAGAGAAAGAGA